rnacentral:tRNA from 1 species
UUAAAGUCCUCCAACACA